GCCCUCUCACUAUCACACAUGUUUACUGCAGAUGGUAGAUCAGAUUGGGGCCAAUACUGCAUUCUCUCUUGUGUUGGCAUAAAGAUCAACAGACGCUUAGUGUAAUGACUCGUAAUUUUACCUUUUUACAGUCUGUGGCUGAAUCUGAUCAGGAAAGUGAAAGAGGGUGUCAUGUCACCCCUGACUCUUCAGAGACGACGCAGCAUCACUCCCUGCAUCACCGACAGGGACCCCCUGCCCGACUCCUCCAGUGAUAAAGACCCGGGGUCACCCAGGGUGGGUGAUGGCACUCCUCCUUUGUCUCGAUUCACUGAACGAGGAGGCUCCUUCAGAGACAGAGGGGGCUCCUUCAGAGACAGAGGAGGUUCCUUCAGAGACAGAGGCCUAAACCAAGCCUGUGUACCACGGCGGCCUCUGCGCAGCGUCUCUGUGGCCCCCCCCCAUCGUGUGUCGGAUUGUCUUCGCCACGGCAACAGCAGUGAUGCCCGGGCAGUGAGGGCAGUGUGCCUGCUGAUGGGAGGGGCAGCGGCCUCCUCUGCUCUGGGCUACCUCAACUCCUGCUCCCCAUCCUCUCCCCUCGCCAGCAGAGCCCCAGAGAUGGCCCACGGCCCAGGGGGCUUCUCUGAGCUGCCUGCAGGAGGCUCCUUCCAUGCCUGCAGCCAGGACGUGGACUCCCCUCACUUCAACAGCUUUGACUUUGAAGGAGACUCCGACUUUGAUGCGUUUGACUGUGGAGGAUUUGCAUUUUAAUUUUGACUAGAAAAAGAGAGAGACUGUUUGAAAGACCUUUUCUUCUCAUCUGACUCCCUGCGUCAGUAUUCCUUUAAGAUAUAAGGGUAUUCUUAUUAAUUUAUCACUCGUUUGUUAUCUAUGCGUCUAAUUUAUAAAUUAAUGAAGGUGUUCUUCCUGGCUUUAUGCCCAUGCUCCUCAGGUAAAUCAUUCAUGACCUUGACUCCUCUGAACACUGUCUGUCUGUAUCGUAUCAGUCUUUCCAUGCCCCAGGGCGACUGAGGUCAACUCAGUGAGCAGUAUAAUGAUUCCAGACAGCUACGCACAUUUACGUUUAUGAGGACAAUUUAGUCAUUUAAAGGAACACUUCACCCCCAAAAUGACCAUGUUACUCACCCCACGUUACCUUGAGUUCAUGAUGAAAACUAUUUUUCUUGCAUGCAUCAACAGUGAACAACUUGUGUAGUAUAUUACAAAUGGGUUGAGGAAAAACACCUGUGUUCAGUGACUCAAGCGCUGCUGGAAAACACUACGAUGUGUCAGCAUUUGAGCCACUGAUCCAGGGUGUUUUGACCAGUCUGAAC